UAGGGACUAGAAUGAACGGCCAAACGAGGGCCCAACUGUCUCCUAUAGCCAACCAAUAAACCUGAUCUCUCAGUACAAAAGCUGAGAUAAACACAUUAGACGAGAAGACCCUGUGGAGCUUUAAGCCCAAGUGUCAACACCAAAACUACCAUUGACACACGCUUUCAGUUGGGGCGACUAUGGAGUAAAACAAAACCUCCACGAUAUUACCACAGCGUAACCUAGACCCACACGUCAACCCAUAAACACCACGACCCAGUCAAACUGAUCAACGAAACAAGUUACCCCAGGGAUAACAGCGCCAUCCUCCCCAAGAGCCCAUAUCGCCAGGAGGGCUUACGACCUCGAUGUUGGAUCAGGACACCCAGGUGGUGCAGCCGCUACCAAAGGUUCGUUUGUUCAACGACUAAUGUCCUACGUGAUCUGAGU
rnacentral:rRNA from 1 species